GUGAAAUUUUGAUCUAGAUAUGCCCGGACAAAAAUUUCAUCACAGCUUGAAAGAGCAUCACAAAAUUAGUAAUAUUCCGAAGUUUCGUUGCGAAAUGUUGUAAAAUGCGGAUAAUAUAGCCUUGCGAAUUUUGCCGUUUUUCAGUCAUUUUGUAUUACAAAUGGGAAAUUGGUAAUCAGUUUGAUCAUCUGAUUAUCAAUUUCCCGUGCGUAAUGCAAAAUGACUUAAAAACG